GCGGGGCUGCGAGGUGCGACAGAGACACAUUCCCCGGGGCCUUACGAUCCUAACGGGAGCUGUCCCUGGCCGGGCUCGUGGGCUCGGUCAUAUGGCGCCCACCUACUUAUGUAGGUUCCCGGGAUCACGCUCUGACGGCCAUCGCGGCUCCGCA
rnacentral:other from 1 species